rnacentral:rRNA from 1 species
UACGAAGGGGGCUAGCGUUACUCGGAUUGACUGGGCGUAAAGGGCGCGUAGGCGGUUUGUACAGUCAGACGUGAAAUUCCUGGGCUCAACCUGGGGGCUGCGUUUGAUACGUGCGGGCUUGAGUUCGGAAGAGGGUCGUGGAAUUCCCAGUGUAGAGGUGAAAUUCGUAGAUAUUGGGAAGAACACCGGUGGCGAAGGCGGCGACCUGGUCCGAUACUGACGCUGAGGCGCGAAAGCGUGGGGAGCAAACAGG